AGUGAACGCUGGCGAUAGGCCUAACACAUGCAAGUCGAACGGCAGCACAGUAAGAGCUUGCUCUUACGGGUGGCGAGUGGCGGACGGGUGAGGAAUACAUCGGAAUCUACUUUUUCGUGGGGGAUAACGUAGGGAAACUUACGCUAAUACCGCAUACGACCUACGGGUGAAAGCAGGGGAUCUUCGGACCUUGCGCGAUUGAAUGAGCCGAUGUCGGAUUAGCUAGUUGGCGGGGUAAAGGCCCACCAAGGCGACGAUCCGUAGCUGGUCUGAGAGGAUGAUCAGCCACACUGGAACUGAGACACGGUCCAGACUCCUACGGGAGGCAGCAGUGGGGAAUAUUGGACGAUGGGCGCAAGCCUGAUCCAGCCAUACCGCGUGGGUGAAGAAGGCCUUCGGGUUGUAAAGCCCUUUUGUUGGGAAAGAAAAGCAGCAGGUUAAUACCCCGCUGUUCUGACGGUACCCAAAGAAUAAGCACCGGCUAACUUCGUG
rnacentral:rRNA from 1 species